GACGAACGCUGGCGGCGUGCCUAAUACAUGCAAGUAGAACGCAGUUGCGAACGGGUGAGUAACGCGUAGGUAACUGCCUGGUAGCGGGGGAUAACUAUUGGAAACGAUAGCUAAUACCGCAUACUACCAGAUGGACCUGCGUUGUAUUAGCUGGUUGGCGGGGUAAAGGCCCACCAAGGCGACGAUCAGUAGCGGGUCUGAGAGGAUGAUCCGCCACACUGGGACUGAGACACGGCCCAGACUCCUACGGGAGGCAGCAGUGGGGAAUAUUGCACAAUGGGCGCAAGCCUGAUGCAGCCAUGCCGCGUGUGUGAAGAAGGCCUUCGGGUUGUAAAGCACUUUCAGCGGGGAGGCGUUACCCGCAGAAGAAGCACCGGCUAACUCCGUGCCAGCAGCCGCGGUAAUAC
rnacentral:rRNA from 1 species